UGUGAUGUCAUAUACUUUCAAAGGUC
rnacentral:piRNA from 1 species